UGGGUUCGCGGCGCGAAAGGGUGGUUCGGGAAGCCGGUGUGAAAUCCCAAAGCUUAACUUUGGAACUGCAUUUUUAACUACCGGGAUAGAGUGUGUCAGAGGGAGGUGGAAUUCCGCGUGUAGCAGUGAAAUGCGUAGAUGUGCGGAUGAACACGGAUGGCUAAGGCAGCCUCCUGGGAUAACACUGACGCUCAUGCACGAAAGCGUGGGGAGCAAACAGGAUUAGAUACCCUGGUAGUCCACGCGCUAAACGAUGUCUACUAGCUGUUGGGGCCUUCGGGCCUUGGUAGCGCAGCUAACGCGUGAAGUUGACCGCCUGUGGAGUACCGUCGCACGAUUAAAACUCACAGGAAUUGACAGGCACCCGCACGAGCGGUGCAUGAUGUGGAUAAUUCGAUGCACGCGAAAACCUUACCUACCCUUGACAUGUCUGAAUGCCGAAGAGAUUUGGCAGUGCUCGCAAAGACCGGACACAGUGCUGCAUGGCUGUCGUCGCUCUGUCGUGAGAUGUGGGUAGUCCCGCAGCGAGCGACCUUGUCAUAGUUGCUACAAAGGGCACUCUAAUGAGACUGCCGGUGACAAACCGGAGGAAGGUGGGGAUGACGUCAAGUCCUCAUGGCCCUUAUGGGUAGGGCUUCACACGUCAUACAAUGGUCGGGACAGAGGGUCGCCAACCCGCGAGGGGGAGCCAAUCCCAGAAACCCGAUCGUAGUCCGGAUCGCAGUCUGUAACUCGACUGCGUGAAGUCGGAAUCGCUAGUAAUCGCAGGUCAGCAUACUGCGGUGAAUCCGUUCCCGGGCCUUGUACACACCGCCCGUCACACCAUGGAAGUUAGCCACGCCCGAAGUCGUUACUCUAACCGUUCGCGGAGGAGGAUGCCGAAGGCAGGGCUGAUGACUGGGGUGAAGUCCCGAGCGAGUAGCCGUACCGGAAGGUGUGGCUGAUCACCUCCUAUUAGA
rnacentral:rRNA from 1 species